rnacentral:tRNA from 1 species
GUCUUUGGGGUGUAAUGGUCAGCACACUCGGCGCGUAUUCGAGAGGUCCGAGGUUCGAAUCCCGGCGAGGGCA